GCCGCCGCGGCUACCGCCGCCCGGGCAGCUUCCUACGCUGCUCCGCGCCGCCCAGCUGCGCCGUGUCCUGCCCUGCCCUGCGCGGGAGGCAGCGACGUGUCGCCGCGGAGGCGCCGCGCCAGGCCGGCCGCCCGCCCGGCACCGCAGGUCACGGACACGCUGUCCCCCAGCUCUGAGACCGGGCAGUUCUCCGUAUGAUGCGACAGGGAGAGAUAUGACGACGGCCUCCUUGAGAUACUCCCGGCGUGUUCUCGCUGAGCUUUUAUCAAGUGGUGGUUUUAUGCAAUGGCAUCAAGCCACAGUUCUUCACCAGUGCCUCAGUCAAACAGCAGUGAUGCUUUCUUUAAAAAAGAAAUGGAUGCCACGAAACGAUUUCGACCUGUGCAGUCACUGCCUGAUGUGUGUCCCAAGGAACCUACAGGCGAUCCCAAUAAUUUAUGUGACAGCCCAUCUCUAGUUGUGGAUCAGCACAGAUGGACUAUUUAUCAUUCCAAAGUCAAUCUCCCAGCAGCACUAAAUGAUCCUAGGUUAGCAAAAAGGGAAUCUGAUUUCUUUACAAAAACAUGGGGAGUGGACUUUGUGGACUCUGAAGUCACGCCUUCAUUCUACCUCCCACAGAUCACCAAGGAACAUUUUGCAUUAUACCAACAGGAAAUCACUCCGAGAGAAAAAACACAUGAAAGGUGCAAGAAUAUUUGUACUCCUAAAGACACUUUCGACAGGACUUUAUUAUACACCCAUGAUAAAUCCAGGACAGAUCUGGAGCAAGUACCUAAGAUUUUUAUGAAACCAGAUUUUGCCUUGGAAGAUUCCUUAACAUUUAAUGCCGUUUUACCAUGGUCUCAUUUUAGUACUGCUGGUGGAAAAGGAAAUCGUGAUGCAGCUUCUUCCAGGUUACUUCAAGAAAAGCUGAGCCAUUAUCUGGACAUUGUGGAAGUCAAUAUUGCUCAUCAGAUUUCACUGCGCUCAGAAGCAUUUUUUCAUGCAAUGACCUCUCAGCAUGAGUUGCAGGACUACCUCAGGAAAACCUCCCAGGCUGUAAAAUUACUUAGAGAGAGAAUCUCCAAAAUUGAUAAAGUAAUGUGUGAAGGAUCGCUUCGAGUUUUAAGACUGUCACUAACCAGAAAUAACUGUAUAAAAGCAUACAAUAAGCUGAAGUUAAUGGCUACUGUACACCAAACACAGCCCACGGUGCAGUUGCUGUUAUCAACCUCUGAGUUUGUUGGGGCUUUGGACUUAAUAGCAACAACACAGGAAGUGUUACAGCAAGAGCUUCAAGGCAUUCACAGUUUCCGGCAUCUCGGCUCACAGCUUUGUGAACUGGAAAAGCUGAUAGAUAAAAUGAUGAUUGCAGAGUUUUCAACUUACGCUCGCAAUGAUUUAAAUAGACCCCUAGAAGAUGAUUGCCACAUUCUAGAAGAGGAAAGACUGGUGUCACUAGUAUUUGGACUUUUAAAACAAAGAAAGCUAAAUUUUUAUGAAAUAUAUGGAGAUGAAAUGAUUAUUACUGCAAAGAAUAUAAUUAAACAGUGUGUGGUUAAUACGGUAUCGCAGAUAGAAGAAAUAGAUACAGAAGUGGUUGUUAAACUUGCAGACCAGAUGAGGAUGAUGAAUUUUCCUCAGUGGUUUGAUUUACUGAAGACUAUUUUUUCCAAGUUUACUAUCUUCCUGAAGAGAAUAAAGGCAACGUUAAAUACUAUCCGUAGCGUGGUUUUCUUGGUUCUAGACAAGAACCAAAAAACCAGAGACCUGGAGGACACCUUACAAAAGAACUCUGCUAAAGACAGCACGGUGGACACGGAGGUGGCUUACCUGACUCACGAAGGCAUGUUCAUAAGCGACGCGUUCAGCGAAGGCGACGUCCCGCCCGCAGCGGCUGACACUACCUCUCAAAGAAACACUUCCCCCAACAGCGAGCCCUGUAGCAGCGAUUCGGUCUCUGAACCAGAGUGCACUACUGAUUCCUCAUCCAGCAAAGAGCAAACCUCAUCUUCUGUUACUCCAGGGGGAGUAGAGAUGAUGAUCAGUGAUGACAUGAAGCUGACUGACCUGGAACUGGUCAGGCUGGCAAACAAUAUUCAAGAGUUACUUUAUAAUGCCUCUGAUAUCUGCCAUGAUCGUUCUGUCAAGUUCCUCAUGAUAAGAGCAAAGGAUGGCUUCUUAGAGAAGCUGAAUUCCAAUGAGUUUGUUGCUCUCUCUCGCUUGAUGGAAGGCUUUAUCUUAGAUACUGAGCAGAUCUGUGGCAGAAAAAGUAUGUCCUUACGGGGGGCACUUCAGAGUCAAGCCAACAGAUUUGUGAACAGAUUCCAUGAGGAGAGGAAGACAAAACUAAGCCUGCUUUUGGACAACGAGCGCUGGAAGCAAGCUGAAGUUCCUGCCGAGUUUCAGGAUCUUGUCGAUUCGGUGUCAGAUGGCAGAAUUUCUCUCCCUGAAAAGAAACAAGCAGCUACUGAAGAAAGAAAGCCAACCGAAUUUCUUACCGUUGAAGGACAAAAAUAUGCAACAGUUGGGACAGUAUUGCUAUUAAUAAGAAUAAUCCUUGAGUACUGCCAGUGUGUGGAUAACAUUCCUUCCAUCACCACUGACAUGCUUACCCGCCUGUCUGAUUUACUGAAGUAUUUUAACUCUAGAAGCUGCCAACUCGUGCUCGGAGCUGGUGCGUUACAAGUUGUGGGUUUGAAAACAAUCACUACGAAAAACCUAGCCCUUUCUUCACGUUGCCUACAGCUAAUCGUACACUACAUUCCUAUUAUCAGGGCUCAUUUUGAAGCUCGUCUGCAGCCAAAGCAGUUCAGCAUGCUCAGGCAUUUUGACCACAUUACAAAGGAUUAUAACGACCACAUAGCUGAAAUUUCAGCAAAGCUCGUGGCCAUCAUGGAUAGCUUGUUUGACAAACUGUUAUCCAAGUAUGAAGUGAAAGCUCCUGUUCCUUCAGCAUGCUUCAGGAAUAUCUGCAAGCAAAUGGCAAAGAUGCAUGAAGCUAUAUAUGAUCUCCUUCCUGAAGAGCAAACUCAGACGCUGUUCCUCCGAAUUAAUGCAAGUUACAAACUCCACCUGAAGAGGCAGCUGGUCCACCUCAACGUGGUCAAUGAUGGAGGGCCUCUCAAUGGACUGGUCACUUCAGACGUAGCUUUUUACACUGGAAACCUUCAAGCUCUGAAAGGCCUUAACAACUUAGACCUAAACAUGGCUGAAAUUUGGGAGCAGAAGAGGUGAUGAGCCAGCGGGAGCAGUGACUUGGCUCUGAGCAGAGACCGACUUCCUUCUGAGCAGCAGGACGCAUGUGAGGUUUUAAACAUGUACUAUUGGAAAUACUGUAAUUACAAGCACACUAGACACUAUCAGCUUACAAGAAGAGCGGAUGCCUUCUUUGAAGACACAGGCUUGCAGUAAGUGCUUUUUCUACUUCUGCUUGCUUUGAGGUGGAAAAAAUGUUCCCCCAUCUGUCCUCCUUACAGCUGUAAGGCAAAUAGGAACAGAAGGAGCAGGGCAGGACACAAGUGUGUGAGCAGGCACUCUGGUAACAGCCCUGUGGGCACAGCCCCAGCUCACACAGCUCCAUGGUGGCAGCUAUCUUGCCCCUGGACUGUUAGAGGGCCAUGACAGUGUUCUGCUGGGAGCAGCCAGAUCCUGAGAGAGAAAAUAACUUCCUCAGCUUUGACAUUGCUAAUAAAUCAAGAACCUCAAACAGAUGAGAAGGGGCCUGUGGCUGUGGCUAGCCUGGGAGGCACCUUGCAGAGGUAAAGGACAAAGCCAUAAGCAUUUAGAAUGCAGAACAAUGAGAUCUGCAGUGUUUUUGAGGUUGAUAGACUAACCUUAUCUCUAGGACUAUAGAAAGCAGCAGCUGCACUGUUAACUCCUGCAUCCCCUUCACAAGGGUUGCUGUUUGGUUUUUGCUGCUGCAAUGUGUUACUGAAUUCCCAGGAGUGCCUCCAGGGACAGGUACCAGGGAGCAGAGAUCCAUCACCCUUAGGGCAGCGGCAUCCCCGUGACACACUCACCUUUAAUGAAACAUUCUUCCCAAACGUAACGUCACCUGAAACUGUGAGAUGAUCCAGCUCCAGCAUGUCUGGAAUACUUUCAAAUCUCCGCAGGUAAUCCUGAACCUUUUGGAGAGAGGAAAGAAGACAGACAGAUUAAAAACCCAUUUGUGGAUUAAGACAAGUGUAGGAGCUUCUUGAAAACUCCUUUCAGGUACCUUUCCAGAACCUACAUCUGACUUCAUCUAAGAAUUACUACUUUGAAAGCAAUGCAGUUGUCAUCUCUGUCAGUGGUUACUACAAGCAGCAGCAAGAGCAGGAUCCCACCAAAGCUGGGUGGGCUCUGGAGAGUACAGACAACCCCCUGCACCUUCCCUUUCACCAACAGACAAGGUGAAGGGGCACCCACCAGCAGUAUGGCAUCAGGCACACCGGUCAGGUGGCUGGUACUCCAACAGCCUGGCGCUUCUUUACAAAUGGCAUAAAGGGGAAUGCCCAGAUGGGCAGAGGUAGACACAGUAAACUUCACUUGUAACUUGUUGCUUCAGACUGUCUUUUGAGUAAAAAGGAAAAGAAGAGUAUAAUUAUAGGAGUUUACCUUUGUGAAAGAACUUCCCAGCUUGACAAGAGGCACUGUGGGAAACUCCCGCUUCUCGCUCAUGGUCAGAGAGCCGGCGUUGAGGCUGUACAGGUUGGACAUCACCAGCAGGAGAUCUGACGUGGUCUUCACAGGCAGAAAACGACUCCGAGGCACGUUUAUCCCCAGAGAGUUCUCAAAACUCUUAAUAGCAGCACCAACCGCGGUCUCCAACUGGAUAACGUUCAAGCCUCCAUCCAGAGUCUGGAAGAGAAAAUUCAGCCUUUUAAUGGCAGACAGGGCAAUCCACAAAUUGUUGGUGUUGAAGAUUUUGAACUUUGAGACGGACUUGAACUCAUCCACGUGUGCUCUGGGAACCUGAGCUAUCUCCACCAGCCUCAGCUUGUUUUCGUACUGCGUAAGCGUCCCACCCUGCAAGGGGCAAAGAAGAAGUUCUUAGUCCUGUUCACAAGAUGCCAGAGAAACCUUCCCCUCACCCCAAAACCAACCACCUGCUUUGUUGGCAUUUCAAGAUGAACCUCAGUGAAAAGGUGGCCCUCACGUUCAGCUACAGGUUACUAGUUACAGGCUAUGUUUAAAGUACAGUCAGAACUCCCAACAAUCACAUUUCAGCAUUCUAGACAGUUAAUUCUUUAUAAAUAAAACAAGUCUCAACAAUUUCCAUUAAGUGCUGCAAAUCUAAAAGUUGUAUUUGUGGCAUUUAUGGGAGAAACAGUCCAUCAGUAACUUGAGCUGCAUUCUGAGUGUGCAUUUCUGUGGGUGUGCAGGGCUAAGUCACAGCUUGUUGACUGUCUAAUGAAUACAGAGAUCACAUCUGCCCCUCCUCACGUUUAAAAGAAUAUAGAGGCAAAGUCCAGUGACGGGACAAAUGCCCGUGGGAAGCAUUUGAUAUGUACCAUAAACACACGAGGUGUUGUUAAACACAGACUUUGUGCUAAGUCAGGCGGUUGGGGCAGGGGCAGAGCAGCAGCCAGGCCGAGCUGGGGUGUGUAACACCCGCUGUGCAACUGCUGUAACCAUCCCCAGACCUCUCCCCUCGGUAAGGGAUGGAGGUUGUGACCUGCAGCUAUCACUCGUGCUUUCAGUCAUCAGUCAAGCCCUGGCUGGCCUCAUCUGCUGCCACCCAGAACCUUGAGCCAAUUUGUUCCAUGAAUUGGAACUUCAUAAACUUGCUGAUUUUGUGCAUCUCAAAUUAGAUCACAGCUGAUGUGUUAAACGGUGCCUGAAAUAGCUGUAAGAAGCCUGGAUGUAUGUCUGAAUUCAUGCAUAGAGAAGAGGCUGAGCUUUUCACCCUCACACCACGCGCUCGGACAGACUCCCACAACCCUUUCCCUUUACCUUCACAUCCGCCCGGGUUUUGUUUGUGACUUCCAUGACGAAUUCACAGCGUUUUCCAUUGGGUGGGUUCAUAAGAUGAUUGAGUAUGUAAAGGUCCACAGUGGCACCCAAGUUAUCUAUAUUGGAUACAAAAAUAUAUUCCUUCCCCUCGGCAAUGAGGUUAUCCAGCAGACCCGAGUUAUAGAAACUGGCGUAGAUGUCCCCGUGGCCUGGGGGGUACCAGCACUCCGUGUUCUCUCCUGAGUAAGACACGUCCUUGGCUAUGGGCAGCAGCGUUUCCUUGUUGAUUCUAGGAUACCUGGGAAGACAAUGGGCUUUGUUAAGUUCUCUACAACAGAAAUCAACCCCAAAAUAUAAUAGUAAAGGUGCGACUACACAGGCUUUUUCAUCCAGCUCUUGAGGGUAAGCCCUCCGGAUUAGUGUAAGUCCUCUGAAUUGAAUACUGAGCCGUCACUGAGGAGCUGCAGAGGGCAGGUCUCUCAUUCAAGGAUUUAAAGCCACAUCUCUCCAGGCACACUGUGCAACAGGUUUCCUCUGGCACACAGGUUCAGGGCUAAGGAAGCCGUGUUCUGUCCCCCUCCAGAACCCAGCUGUCCUAGCAGCAAAUGCAGGAGCCAAGGGCCAGCACCCAGCACACCACCGCUACUCACUGCUACAGCAGACACUAUUGCCACCCCAGCAUCUCCAGUGAAAAACCCCCCACCACCUGGCAUCUGGAGAAACGCAGCCGGUUUGUUCUUUCCCUUUCACCCCAAGCAGAGAAGUUU